rnacentral:lncRNA from 1 species
UCCAACCCAUAAACGCUUGGUCAACGGUUAUUACAUCUGUGCCUGCGAUCAAAGCUCGUGAAAAGCGAGUUCGAGUUGGAUGCACGGGUUCUGUGUCGACACGUGAUCGGUUAGCGUAAAA